AAGUCGUAACAAGGUUUCCGUAGGUGAAAAACAGUGUUGAUUCAGAGACCUCUUUCGAAACACGAAUCCAUGCAGCGGCAGAUCAAUAGGCUUGGCUUCCAACAACUUGGUAACAUCCAAGGUCGUUGGCUUACACGGUCAACGGACAAGUCUCUGGGCGUAAAGCCCCAGCUAACAAAACCCAGUAGGUGAAAGUAGUCCCGCGUAAAGUAGGGACACAAAAACGAACAACAGGUAACAAUGGAUAUCUUGGUUCUC
rnacentral:misc_RNA from 1 species